UACGGAGGGUGCAAGCGUUAUCCGGAUUUACUGGGUUUAAAGGGUGCGUAGGUGGGCAGGUAAGUCAGUGGUGAAAUCUCCGGGCUCAACCCGGAAACUGCCAUUGAUACUAUCAGUCUUGAAUAUCGUGGAGGUAAGCGGAAUAUGUCAUGUAGCGGUGAAAUGCUUAGAUAUGACAUAGAACACCAAUUGCGAAGGCAGCUUACUACCCGAAUAUUGACACUGAGGCACGAAAGCGUGGGGAUCAAACAGG
rnacentral:rRNA from 1 species